rnacentral:pre_miRNA from 1 species
AGUAAGAUAGCUGGGUCAAAUGGUGGUUCUAUUUUAAGUUUUCUAAAGAAUCUCCAUACUACUUUCCAGAUUGAUUGCACCAAUUUGCAGUCCUACCAGCAAU